AAUCAAAAGCCUCUCACUGUCACUUUAUGAGAACAGGAGCCACACAUAUUUCCCUCUUAAUCCAGGCAAGGUGUCACACAGCAAAAUGAGUCAAGUCCAUGAUAUCCUUUUUGUUGGUGGAUCCAUGAUCUCAGGCAGAAUUAGAAUUCUUAUCAGCCUCAUCCCCAUAGUCAUCAUGGGUUUGGGGGCCAGGCAUUUCCAUGAGUGUCCUAAGGAGCCCAUGGUGCCCAUCUUCCUGGUGGUGGGGGGCAGCGCCUCUGUGACCCUCCAGCUGCUUCCCUUCUUCUACUGUCGUGACCCAAAAGAUGUCCCCAACAUGCUGUGCCGCAUCUGCAACUUUGUGCUCUAUGUCUUCUGCUUUGUGUGGUUGAUCGUAGGGAGUGUUUUUGUGUACAGAGCAUACUUGCCUGACUUUGAGUCCCGCCAGUCCAAGCAUUACUGUGACAGGAUCCUGUACCUAGUCACUCUCUGGUUCACCACCGGCAUUUAUAUUUUCAUUGUGUUGUUUAUGAUUUACUUGUUAUGCAAACACCUAUUUUGUGAGUCCUGAAGCAGUGAAGCUUUUUUUUGUAUGUGUGUGUUCAUUUACGGUGUUUUGACUUUUGCUUUGAUUUUCACAAGCCCUGAUCUUGGCAGCGCAGACUUUUCAUUGUAAAGAAGAGGAUCACAGACAGUCUGCGGGUGGGCAGUGGUAGCAUUGUGGUUAACGUGCUGGGAUAACAUACAGUAGUCUGAAACGUUGUGGGUUCAAUUCCCGGCUUCCACUGUUGUGCCCUUGAGCAAGACAUUUAACCCCAAGUUGCUCCGGGGACAGUGUAGUCCCUUGUAAUAGAAUUGAAGUCCCUUUGAAUAAAAAGUGUCUGCUAAAUAAAUCAAUGUUAAUGUGAAGUCAUACUGUGUCUUGCAUGGCCAAAACUAGAAUUUAAUAUAACAUGAAUAUAAAUUUGAUGGAUUGCUGUCAAUAAACUUCAUCCAGAACUUUUAAGUGACUAGAUCUAGUUACCUCCGAUGCCAACAUCAGAUGGUCACAGAGUUUUGACUGAUGGUCACACAGCUUUUACCACUGUGCCAAAGUUGCACAGGCACAGUGCUUUCUUCACAUCAAACCACAAAGAAGGAAGAGGGCCGUGGUGCAAACUGUGUGGCCUGCCAAACUGUUAUGCAGCACCCUGGACAGUAAAAGCAUUUAACAGCAUUUUCAACGGUCUGCUAGUGUCAGGUGAAGAGACAUUAUUUACCUAAAUGGGGAAAAAAGGAGGAUUUUUCAAAGGAGAUUUUCAUGUGAAGUUUUGGGAAUUAUGGUGAAUUGCAGGUGAAAUUUGAUAUAAGGAUAAUCACAUACAGCGUUAAAUGAGGAAGAUGGACCAGACACAAAGAUCUCCAUUUCUAAUGGCAACAAUAGUUGUAGUGAAUAUAAUCCUAUGGAUGAUACUCAUAAUGGCCAUAGGGAUGGGCACUAUGCAUCUGAAUGACUGCCCCAUCCAACGGAACAUUCCAGUGUUUCUCAUAGUGACCGGGGUGGCUGGCCUUCUUUCUCUGAUGCUGGCCUACACCAAAAACAUAUUACAAGAAGGCGGGAUCCACUUGCUAUGCUCCAUAUGCAGCAUCAUCUGCUACACCUUCCUAAUGUUCUGGCUUAUUACAGGAAGCAAAUGGAUCUACUCCUUAUACCCACCAAACUACGACCCUCUGAAUAAGGACGGCUAUUGCCAGAAGAAACUGUACCUCUUUGCGUUUGGGUUCACCUGUGUGGCUGACCUCUGCCUGUCCCUGGUGCUCACCUGUGCUGUCCUCCUCCUGCUCGUCAGCUGUACAAAAACCCUCCUCCAACGGAGACCUGGACUCUCCACAUAUAACAGGACAUACACAGAAAUCUGAUCAUUUAGUGUACAACAGUGUUGUUAUCAUUCAUAGGGAGUUAAAAUAAUCAGUGCUGACAGAUGUACAAGUAUGUUAUGUUUUUUUAUGUUAUCUUUUUAUUUCAAACUAUCUAAGUGCAUUAUUUGCCAUGUUGCUUCAAGGCAUCACUCCCUCGGUCUCAUCCAUCAUGCACAAAUGUUCCAUUAAACAGUUGUGGUUGACUGCCUUUGUUAGCGAGAGUGUGUGAAUACAUUUAAUGUACAUAUUCUGCUUGUUGUAAUCACU